rnacentral:rRNA from 1 species
UACGUAGGGUGCAAGCGUUGUCCGGAAUCAUUGGGCGUAAAGAGCGUGUAGGCGGCCCGAUAAGUCCGCUGUGAAAGUCGGGGGCUCAACCCUCGAAUGCCGGUGGAUACUGUCGGGCUAGAGUGCGGAAGAGGCGAGUGGAAUUCCUGGUGUAGCGGUGAAAUGCGCAGAUAUCAGGAGGAACACCUAUUGCGAAGGCAGCUCGCUGGGACGUAACUGACGCUGAGACGCGAAAGCGUGGGGAGCAAACGGG